CCCUAUCAGAAAUCUUUGAAAACAACAAACAACAAAUCUAAAUUUAUCGCACAUCGCCCGUGAUGGUCUUACACGCAUGUUACGAUGCUUAUUAUUUAGAAAGUUCACGAUUUCGACACGAACGAGCUUGCAAGCGAGUGGAGCAGGUGAUACCACGCCUUAGAUAAGAUUUUUCAAGGAAUACAUGGAAUAACACCAGAAAUGAUAAAUAAUGUUAUUCAGCAUGUUCAAGCACGGGCAGAACCUCGUAUCUUGAAAAGUAUUUCUCUGAUCGCAAAAGUGGUAAUAUGGUUUUCUAGUGAGUUCUGUCUCAGUGUUCAUUUAGAACAGGAUUUAUACGCCAGCCCAAAUUUAGGAACGUUAGCAUAAGGUAACAAGGAAGAAUUCAAGUCAAGGAUACAAUUAAUUAAAAACAAAAAUAAGGAAAACGCUGCCAAACGCGGAACAAUAAUCACAUUAGGAAACAAACCAGCAAACGAUGCAAAACAAUCGUAAGCAUUCUUGACUAGGU